rnacentral:rRNA from 1 species
AGAGUUUGAUUCUGGCUCAGGAUGAACGCUGGCGGCGUGCCUAACACAUGCAAGUUGAGCGGACCAAUGCUCAUUUCAGCUUUGCUGAUUUGAGCAACGGUUAGCGGCGGACGGGUGAGUAACGCGUGGGCAACCUGCCCUGUGCAGGGGGAUAACACAGCGAAAGCUGUGCUAAUACCCCAUAAGACUACGCUAUCGCAUGAUAGAGUAGUCAAAGCUUUAGCGGCACAGGAUGGGCCCGCGUCUGAUUAGCUAGUUGGUGGGGUAACGGCCUACCAAGGCGACGAUCAGUAGCCGACCUGAGAGGGUGAUCGGCCACACUGGAACUGAGACACGGUCCAGACUCCUACGGGAGGCAGCAGUGGGGAAUAUUGCACAAUGGGGGAAACCCUGAUGCAGCAACGCCGCGUGAGCGAAGAAGGCCUUCGGGUCGUAAAGCUCUGUCCUAAGGGAAGAAGUAUGACGGUACCUUAGGAGGAAGCCCCGGCUAACUACGUGCCAGCAGCCGCGGUAAUACGUAGGGGGCGAGCGUUAUCCGGAAUCACUGGGCGUAAAGGGUGCGUAGGCGGCCGAGUAAGCCAGAGGUGAAAGGCUACGGCUUAACCGUAGUAAGCCUUUGGAACUACUUGGCUUGAGUGCAGGAGAGGAGAGUGGAAUUCCUAGUGUAGCGGUGAAAUGCGUAGAUAUUAGGAGGAACACCAGUGGCGAAGGCGACUCUCUGGACUGUAACUGACGCUGAGGCACGAAAGCGUGGGGAGCAAACAGGAUUAGAU